rnacentral:lncRNA from 1 species
GGCUCUUGCUGCCCACCCAGGCGACUCCUCCCAGCGUGGCCCCCACCGCUCCCCGGGUGAUGCUGAACAGGCCGCCCGUCACUCUCCAGAUCACCCCCGCCUGCUGCUGCGGAUGGUCCUUGCUGGCAUCUUCGGGAGGUUCUUCCCGCAGAUGAGGGGGCAGAUCUUCACUUGUUGUCUCAGUUUCAUCUUCCACCAUCUGUGUUUCUAUGCUAGGUCCCUUCAUGCCGCGUCUCCCCGCGCACCGCCCGCAGGGGAUGGAGGGCAGGCGGCCGUCGUCGCCGGCUGCGUCCCCGUCUCCCCCAGCGCUCCGGCUCCUCCCGCCCGAUGUAAACACACACGGCGGCGGCUGAGGGUGGGCCGAGGGGGGGCAGCGCCAUGGCAACCUCGGCCGGAAGAGGAAGCGCGGGGGUCAGGGGCCGCCAUCUUAGCAGGGUCGGGCGGCCGGGACGCGCUGCGCGUGCUAACGGCCGCGCGACCGGAGGGGCAGCUGUACGCCGCGGGGUGGUCUGAGGCGUUCGGCAGCACUUCAUCUGGCGCUGCAGGGUUGGAAGGGCAGACCUCGGCUGUCGGCUGCACGGCGAUAACAGCGCGCAGGUGGUUGUGCUGACAGGUGUGCUGCUUUAAGACCAUCGCCAGGCACGGGCGUACGCUGGAUGCUACAUAGGGGUGGUUCUGCUAGCGAACGGUUUGAUGCGAUCCGUGCCAGCCAAACCAUCCUUUCUGCACCUUGUUUGGAGUAACAACUUCCAGAACUGGGAAAUAACAUUGAGCAAAUGGUGAUGAGUUCCGUUUGCUCUGAUUUCACAUAAUCGCAGAAGCAGUGAAGACUGAGUUAAUAGGAAACAUAACUUCAACUUGACAAGUGACCGAACCCAAAGGAGAUCUCCCCUUUGUUUCCUCUAUACUGAGAAACAGCAGUUCCUUCUCUAAAUAAUAUGCCCUUGACCAUUUAAUUGCUCCAAACUGUUCUCCGGUACAGCAAAACCUAUUUAGUUAGACACCAAAAGGGAACAAAGUGCUGGCUUAAAGCCUUGGCACGCCUGCUCUCGGUGCAUAGGAACAACAAUCUCUCGCACCUGACAUUAAUUAUGUAACUGAAAUACCCUCCUCAACACACCAGCCAAUAAAAUUUAUGUAAACAAAACUGACAAUGGUAUUAAUAGAAUUAGAUUGCAUCAUUUUCCAUAGCACAUUAAUAGCAAUAUGUAUUUAUGUUGUAGUCAGAUCAUGAGCACAAAGAAGUUUCUCAUGCUUGCAUUGAAUUUAAUAUGCAAAUUAUAGCCUUGCUGCCUGUGAAAUAAUACUGCCUACAUUUUAAAGGGUUAAAGAUGAAACUAUCUUUUCUUCUAUCACGGUAAAAUGAUGAAUUCUAGAUUCAAAGUAAAGCAGCCCUCUACAUUUGGCAUUUAGAAUUUCAGACAAACAUAACGUGGUUUCUCAAGAAGCCCCUAAAAUCAAAUAUGUGCAGUGUUUUAAACAAGUUAAAAUGAGAUUGUCUUGUUUGUGAUGCCCCCAAAACAUUCACAGAACAUUCCAAUUGAAAAACCAGAACAUGCUGGAAGGUAGACAAAUCUCAGGGGAAAAAAAAGGGGGGGAAACAAAUUGCUUACGUUAUGCUAGGAACAAGUCCUGAAACUACUUCAGAACUACUAAAAAUAUUCCCUAACAGAAAGUUACAUGACAUAUACCACAUGUACAUUAGUAGGUAGUGUUGCUCACUAGGCAUGAAUUUGUUCAGUGAAACCAUUGGUGCUGGGGACACCAUGUCCUUACUUACAUUUCAGGAGCAAUUGCUUUGAACAAACUCUAAUACUUUAGAGUGAACACCCAUUAAUGGCUGUACCAACUGUGCACCUGAAAUAGGCUUUUCCAGGUUUGUGUCAUCCAGCUGGAUUUAAUCCAGUUCACACAAGCCAAGCCUGCCCUGAUACACAAAGCAAAGCAUGACAAGUGGC